UACGAAGGGGGCUAGCGUUGCUCGGAAUCACUGGGCGUAAAGCGCACGUAGGCGGAUUGCUAAGUCAGGGGUGAAAUCCUGGAGCUCAACUCCAGAACUGCCUUUGAUACUGGCGACCUUGAGUCCGGGAGAGGUGAGUGGAACUGCGAGUGUAGAGGUGAAAUUCGUAGAUAUUCGCAAGAACACCAGUGGCGAAGGCGGCUCACUGGGCCACUACUGACGCUGAGGAGCGAAAGCGUGGGGAGCGAACAGG
rnacentral:rRNA from 1 species